rnacentral:rRNA from 1 species
GGGGGCCCGCAAGCGGCGGAGCAUGCGGAUUAAUUCGAUGCAACGCGAAGAACCUUACCAAGGCUUGACAUGAACCGGAAAGACCUGGAAACAGGUCCCCCGCUUGCGGUCGGUUUACAGGUGGUGCAUGGUUGUCGUCAGCUCGUGUCGUGAGAUGUUGGGUUAAGUCCCGCAACGAGCGCAACCCUCGUUCUAUGUUGCCAGCGCGUUAUGGCGGGGACUCAUAGGAGACUGCCGGGGUCAACUCGGAGGAAGGUGGGGACGACGUCAAAUCAUCAUGCCCCUUAUGUCUUGGGCUUCACGCAUGCUACAAUGGCCGGUACAAAGGGUUGCGAUACUGUGAGGUGGAGCUAAUCCCAAAAAGCCGGUCUCAGUUCGGAUUGGGGUCUGCAACUCGACCCCAUGAAGUCGGAGUCGCUAGUAAUCGCAGAUCAGCAACGCUGCGGUGAAUACGUUCCCGGGCCUUGUACACACC